GGGGCCGUUUCCGGAUUAUUGGGCGUAAGAGCUCGUAGGCGGUUUGUCGCGUCUGCCGUGAAAGUCCGGGGCUCAACUCCGGAUCUGCGGUGGGUACGGGCAGACUAGAGUGAUGUAGGGGAGACUGGAAUUCCUGGUGUAGCGGUGAAAUGCGCAGAUAUCAGGAGGAACACCGAUGGCGAAGGCAGGUCUCUGGGCAUUAACUGACGCUGAGGAGCGAAAGCAUGGGGAGCGAACAGGAUUAGAUACCCUGGUAGUCCAUGCCGUAAACGUUGGGCACUAGGUGUGGGGGACAUUCCACGUUUUCCGCGCCGUAGCUAACGCAUUAAGUGCCCCGCCUGGGGAGUACGGCCGCAAGGCUAAAACUCAAAGGAAUUGACGGGGGCCCGCACAAGCGGCGGAGCAUGCGGAUUAAUUCGAUGCAACGCGAAGAACCUUACCAAGGCUUGACAUGGGCCGGACCGGGCUGGAAACAGUCCUUCCCCUUUGGGGCCGGUUCACAGGUGGUGCAUGGUUGUCGUCAGCUCGUGUCGUGAGAUGUUGGGUUAAGUCCCGCAACGAGCGCAACCCUCGUUCCAUGUUGCCAGCGCGUAAUGGCGGGGACUCAUGGGAGACUGCCGGGGUCAACUCGGAGGAAGGUGGGGACGACGUCAAAUCAUCAUGCCCCUUAUGUCUUGGGCUUCACGCAUGCUACAAUGGCCGGUACAAAGGGUUGCGAUACUGUGAGGUGGAGCUAAUCCCAAAAAGCCGGUCUCAGUUCGGAUUGGGGUCUGCAACUCGACCCCAUGAAGUCGGAGUCGCUAGUAAUCGCAGAUCAGCAACGCUGCGGUGAAUACGUUCCCGGGCCUUGUACACACCGCCCGUCAAGUCACGAAAGUUGGUAACACCCGAAGCCGGUGGCCUAACCCCUUGUGGGAGGGAGCUGUCGAAGGUGGGACUGGCGAUUGGGACUAAGUCGUAACAAGGG
rnacentral:rRNA from 1 species